ACUAUUUUGGCAGAUUAGUGCAAUAAAUUUAGAAUUUAUUUAUGUGAUUUAUAUCACAAAUAGUA
rnacentral:tRNA from 1 species